rnacentral:rRNA from 1 species
UACGUAGGGGGCGAGCGUUGUCCGGAAUGAUUGGGCGUAAAGGGCGCGUAGGCGGCUUUCUAAGUCUGAAGUGAAAGUCCUGUCUUCAAGAUGGGAAUUGCUUUGGAUACUGGGAGGCUUGAGUGCAGGUGAGGUAAGUGGAAUUCCCAGUGUAGCGGUGAAAUGCGUAGAGAUUGGGAGGAACACCAGUGGCGAAGGCGACUUACUGGACUGUAACUGACGCUGAGGCGCGAAAGUGUGGGGAGCAAAC